GAAGAGCGAACAUCUGCCAAGAACGCCAUAUCGUGUGACAAAGCGGAUAUGACAAACGUUGUGUUUG
rnacentral:sRNA from 1 species